GCAUGCACCACAGGAUACAGAAGUACUUUCCUUCUCCUUAUUUUAUGCCUCAGCUCCAUGAACUGUUGAGAGAAGACAGACUUUGCUUGCUGUUACAGAAAAAGGAAACUGAAUGGGUGGAAAACCUAUUGUCAUCAACACAGCACUUCCUCUGCUUCUGCUUACAGAGAACGGCCAUACCAAGGUCUUGGUCCUCACUUGCUGGGAAUGUAUGUUGUACAUACAGAUAAAAGGAUUUAUCGUGAAGGAACACAAUCCAGUGUGAGCAGCUGGAGUAGAUAGCUUAGUUCUGAGAACAUGUAGGCUUCAUCAACAAUGUGAACUUGCGCAUCUUUGGAGACACUAAUUUGGCUGAACUGAGGACUAGGCUUUAGGAUGCAGAGGAACCUGCUACUUCUGAAGAAGGAAACUGGUUGUUGCUUGCCACAGACUGUUCUCCUGCAUUCAAGUCCUGUGCCCAUUAAGCUGAAGAAUCCCUGAGCCACCCAAAAACUAAAGAAAAAAAAAACACCAAAUGGCUGAGAAAGAAGAGGACACAGACUGUGUCCAUGCGGCUUGAAGGCUUAUAAGUGCAUUGACACAUUUGACCAAAAAGCGGAAGGCAUGGCUGUUGAUGGUUAGAGAAACCCUUCUGAAGCAUACAAAACCAGCAGUUUAAUGACUUGAUCAACAAUUUAGAGAGAUUGAAUGCAUGAAAAAAGAUCCAGACAUUAAAGGUGGUCGAAGAUACCUUCAAGAGCUGCUGAAACAUGAAGACUGCCCAAUAUUUGUCUCCCUUGGAAUGACUCUUGCAGGAUCUAGUCUACAUGAAACCACCUCCCUGUGUUUGAAUACAGCUGGCAAACUGCUAAAUACAAAAUCGUGGUUAGGAGAGGAUCAGACCGAUUUGACUCAUCAUCAUGUCAAAUAAUGGUGAUGAAACUUUGUUUUGUGUCAACUCAAAUGUUCACAAAGAGUUAAAAUAAAGGUUAAAAUUCUCUGAUAUAUAGCACAGUAUAAUUCUCAGAAAUGUGAAUUAACCUAAGAUUGAUUAUU